rnacentral:misc_RNA from 1 species
CGCUUGAACAACGCCACCGCCGAAACCUUUGCCCAUCCCGCCGCCCGCACCCGCGCCGCCGUCUCCAUCAGCGAACACCCUUCGGCCAGAUGCACCAGCAAACACCGCAACAGCGUCCCCGCAUCCCCAAUGCCCCGCCCACGACGCAAAGCGCCCAACGACUGGGCCGCGCCUUUCCAUCCCGGCGGAAAAUAACGAACCAGCAGUUGCCACUCGUCCGUCCGUACCGAACCAUCCCUGGCGUUCAUGCCCGCCA